rnacentral:rRNA from 1 species
UACGUAGGGUGCGAGCGUUAAUCGGAAUUACUGGGCGUCAAGCGUGCGCAGGCGGUUUUGUAAGCCAGAUGUGAAAUCCCCGGGCUUAACCUGGGAAUGGCAUUUGGGACUGCAAGGCUUGAGUGCGGCAGAGGGGGAUGGAAUUCCGCGUGUAGCAGUGAAAUGCGUAGAUAUGCGGAGAACACCGAUGGCGAAGGCAAUCCCCUGGGCCUGCACUGACGCUCAUGCACGAAAGCGUGGGGAGCAAACAGG